UACGUAGGGGGCAAGCGUUGUCCGGAUUUAUUGGGCGUAAAGAGCGUGUAGGCGGCCAGAUAGGUCCGUUGUGAAAACUCGAGGCUCAACCUCGAGACGCCGAUGGAAACCAUUUGGCUAGAGUCCGGAAGAGGAGAGUGGAAUUCCUGGUGUAGCGGUGAAAUGCGCAGAUAUCAGGAAGAACACCCGUGGCUAAGGCGGCUCUCUAGUACGGUACUGACGCUGAGACGCGAAGGCGUGGGGAGCGAACGGG
rnacentral:rRNA from 1 species